rnacentral:rRNA from 1 species
UGAGGAAUAUUGGGCAAUGCCCGCAAGGGUGACCCAGCAACGCCGCGUGGAGGAUGAAUGUCGUAAGAUUGUAAACUCCUGUUAGAGGGGAAGAAUAGUACCGGUUGGACCGGUAUAUGACUGUACCCUCAGAGAAAGCCCCGGCUAACUACGUGCCAGCAGCCGCGGUAAUACGUAGGGGGCAAGCGUUGUCCGGAUUUACUGGGUGUAAAGGGCGCGCAGGCGGGAUAAAAAGUCAGUGGUGAAAUCCUACAGCUUAACUGUAGAACUGCCUCUGAUACUUUUAUUCUUGAGUUCGGGAGAGAGAGACGGAAUUCCAGGUGUAGUGGUAAAAUACGUAGGUAUCUGGAAGAACACCAGUUGCGAAGGCGGUCUCUUGGUCCGACACUGACGCUGAGGCACGAAAGCGUGGGUAGCAAACA